GUCUCUGUGGCGCAACUGGUUAGUGCAUUUGGCUGUUAACCAAAAGGUUGGUAGUUCGAGCCCACCCAGGGAUG